rnacentral:rRNA from 1 species
GACUAACGCUGGCUUCGUUCUUAACUCAUGCAUUUCUAACGGAAAGGCCUGCUUUCCCUUGUGGAUUGCGGGUACUCGAGUGGCGAACGGGUGAGUAACACGUGAGUGAUCUGCCCCUAACUUGUGUAUAAGCCUGGGAAACUGUUUCUAAUUCCCGCUAGGACUGCAGGGUGCUGCCUGUGGUGGUCAACGAUUUUCUAGUGGUUGGGGAUGAGCUCGCGUCCUAUCAGCUUGUUGGUGGUUUAAUGGCCUACCAAGGCGGCGUCGGGUAGGCGGCGUGAAAGGGUGGGCGGCCAAAUUGGGACUGAGAAACGGAGCAGAGUACUACGGGAGGCAGCAGUGGGGAAUAGUGAACAAUGGGCGGAAGCCUGAUGCAGCGACGCCGCGUGGGGGAUGACGGCCUUGGGGUUAUGAACUCCUGGAGGCCGCGAGGAAGACAAGUGGUUGGAAAGGAGGAGAAGGUAGUGGGAGAAGAAGCACCGGCUAACUACGUG